AAAAACAUGUCCUUUUGUUUUUAAAUAUAAGGUCUAACCUGCCCAAUGAUUUAUAUUUAAUGGCCGCGGUAUAUUAACUGUGCUAAGGUAGCAUAAUCAUUUGUCUUUUAAUUAAAGGCUAGAAUGAAUGGUUGGACGAAGUAUAAGCUUUCUUUAGUUUAAUUUAUGAAUUUAAUUUUUUAGUCAAAAAGCUAAAAUAUAUUUGAGGGACGAGAAGACCCUUUAGAUCUUUAUAUUAUUAAAUAUUUUAUAUUAUGGAUUAUAACUUAUUUUAAUAUUUAAUUUUAUUUGAUUGGGGUGAUUAUAGAAUUUAUAUUAACUUCUAUUAUUUUUAUCAUUAAUUAAUGUUUAUUUGAUCCAGUUUUAUUGAUUAAAAGUUUAAGUUACCUUAGGGAUAACAGCGUAAUUUUUUCGGAGAGUUCAUAUCGAUGAAGAAGUUUGCGACCUCGAUGUUGGAUUAAAAUAAGUUUUAAAGUGCAGUAGCUUAAAAACUAGGUCUGUUCGACCUUUAAUUUUUUACAUGAUCUGAGU
rnacentral:rRNA from 1 species